rnacentral:lncRNA from 1 species
AAGGAAGUGGGCUGAAAACGCGCAGCUACCAAGAGUGCACCGUGCGGGGCGAGAAGGGAAGGGGUGACCCCAGCCGGAAGCAGAAACACACUGGGGAAGAAGGAGACGGCAGUCAGGAGUCAACUACCAUGUUGUCGCUGAGACCUAACAGGAGAGAGACGCCCUGCAGAGGACGGCGUGGUGCAGAGUCCACGGGCCCGGUGUGGAUCCAGCCCAGGCCUUCCUCCCAGACUUCCACACCCUCACAGGAGACUCCCUACACAGCUCUGGGCUGACCAGUCAGAAUAUUUCUUUUCCCUGGCCACAGUGACUGUGACGCACACCAGGGCCCAGCUUGGACAGGGAACUGAGGAGGAGGCAAGGGCUGCUAGCCUGCAGUUCUCUCUCCUCAGGAACGUCUG